AAAUGAGUAGCUCAGAUGGUAGAGCACUAUCCCUGCACGAUAGAGGUCAUAGGUUCGAAUCCUAUUUCGUUUU
rnacentral:tRNA from 1 species